rnacentral:tRNA from 1 species
GCUAGCGUAGCUUAAUGCAAAGCAUGGCACUGAAGAUGCCAAGAUGGGUCUUAAACCACCCCGCGUGCA